rnacentral:rRNA from 1 species
AUUGAACGCUGGCGGCAGGCCUAACACAUGCAAGUCGAACGAGUGGCGGACGGGUGAGUAAUGUCUGGGAAACUGCCUGAUGGAGGGGGAUAACUACUGGAAAAGGUAGCUAAUACCGCAUACCAUCGGAUGUGCCCAGAUGGGAUUAGCUAGUAGGUGGGGUAAAGGCUCACCUAGGCGACGAUCCCUAGCUGGGCUGAGAGGAUGACCAGCCACAAUGGAACUGAGACACGGUCCAGAUUCGUACGUGAGGCAGCAGUGGGUAAUAUUGCACAAUGGGCGCAAGCCUGAUGCAGCCAUGCCGGGUGUAUGAAGAAGGCCGUCGGGUUGUAAAGUACUUUCAGCGGGGAGGCGUUACCCUCAGAAGAAGCACCGGCUAACUCCGUGCCAGCCGCCGCGGUAAUUC